rnacentral:rRNA from 1 species
AUUGAACGCUGGCGGCAUGCUUUACACAUGCAAGUCGAACGGCAGCGCGGGCUUCGGCCUGGCGGCGAGUGGCGAACGGGUGAGUAAUGCAUCGGAACGUGCCCAGUAGUGGGGGAUAGCCCGGCGAAAGCCGGAUUAAUACCGCAUACGACCUGAGGGUGAAAGCGGGGGACCGAAAGGCCUCGCGCUAUUGGAGCGGCCGAUGUCGGAUUAGCUAGUUGGUGGGGUAAAGGGUUACCAAGGCGACGAUCCGUAGCUGGUCUGAGAGGACGACCAGCCACACUGGGACUGGGACACGGCCCAGACUCCUACGGGAGGCAGCAGUGGGGAAUUUUGGACAAUGGGGGCAACCCUGAUCCAGCCAUGCCGCGUGCGGGAAGAAGGCCUUCGGGUUGUAAACCGCUUUUGUUCGGGAAGAAAUCCUCUGGGCUAAUACCCCGGGGGGAUGACGGUACCGGAAGAAUAAGCACCGGCUAACUACGUG